GUGAGAAUCACCUGGAGUGCUUGUUAAAAUGCAGGUUCUGUUUCUGGGGCUCUCUUGGGGCCCUAGAUUCUACAUCUCUAACAAGUUCUCAAGUGAUACUGAU
rnacentral:pre_miRNA from 1 species